rnacentral:rRNA from 1 species
GGGGAAUAUUGCACAAUGGGCGAAAGCCUGAUGCAGCGACGCCGCGUGCGGGAUGAAGGCCUUCGGGUUGUAAACCGCUUUUGAUUGGGAGCAAGCGAGAGUGAGUGUACCUUUCGAAUAAGCACCGGCUAACUACGUGCCAGCAGCCGCGGUAAUACGUAGGGUGCAAGCGUUAUCCGGAAUUAUUGGGCGUAAAGAGCUCGUAGGCGGUUUGUCGCGUCUGGUGUGAAAGUCCAUCGCUUAACGGCGGAUCUGCGCCGGGUACGGGCAGGCUAGAGUGCGACAGGGGAGACUGGAAUUCCCGGUGUAACGGUGGAAUGUGUAGAUAUCGGGAAGAACACCAAUGGCGAAGGCAGGUCUCUGGGUCGUCACUGACGCUGAGGAGCGAAAGCGUGGGGAGCGAACAGGAUUAGAUACCCUGGUAGUCCACGCCGUAAACGGUGGAUGCUGGAUGUGGGGCCCAUUCCACGGGUUCCGUGUCGGAGCUAACG